rnacentral:lncRNA from 1 species
CAGCCCUGUAGGAGACACCUCCAGAGAAAGUAACAGCUCUCAAUUGAUUAGCUGAGGAGACCGAUUUUGUAAAUCACUACUUUUCUAACAACACUGGCACAGAUGGCCAAGCAUUCUCCCUUUUCUCAGAGCUGGUUUUCCAUCCCGGAAAGAGGUCUUACAUAUACAAAGUUACUCUAAUCAGUUGUGUGAGUUUUCUCUUCUCUAACUGAUAGGGUUCUGCACAGGGAUUAUAUUAAUGCUUAUAGUGUCCAAAAGGCUAUAGCUCACCUCUGGACUCUUGAGAGUUCUCAAGGGAUCCUGCUGAGCUCUCAGACCUUUUUAAUGCUAUUCAAUAUAAUAGAAAAGUUGCAAAAUUGGAAGGAAUCUGAGAAAGGCUAAUUUACAAUGGAAAGGACAGCAUUAAAAGGCACAAACUCCAAUAUCUACAGGGGCCAGGUCUAUAUUAUAAAUAGUAAAAUUGGCCACAAAUAAACAAUAGGGAAUGUAAACACUGGCAAACUAGAGAGAUGUCAUAUUUGAAGAAGGCAGUCACUAUUCACUGCUAGCCAGUUGUAAAAUGAAGGCAACAUUUUGCCAAACCUUCAAACUUGUUAAGAGAUUUCUCGACACAAAUCAGAUACAGAUUUUUAUGUUUCAUUUGCCAACUUGUAAAUGUUGACAACUAAUUAAAUUUGCUUGUAAAACACCGUAUUAAAUUAAAUGCACACAUAGGCCA